rnacentral:rRNA from 1 species
CCCUUAGAUGUUCUGGGCCGCACGCGCGCUACACUGAUUCAUGCAACAAGCUUUGUCCUUGGCUGAUAGGCCUGGGUAAUCUUUGAACGUGAAUCGUGAUGGGGAUAGAUGAUUGCAAUUAUUCAUCUUCAACGAGGAAUUCCUAGUAAACGCAAGUCAUCAGCUUGCAUUGAUUACGUCCCUGCCCUUUGUACACACCGCCCGUCGCACCUACCGAUUGAAUGGUCCGGUGAAAUCUUCGGAUCUGAGAGAUGUCUGAUUAAUUUCGGACGCCUUUUGGAAAAGUUGUUUAAACCUUACCAUUUAGAGGAAGGUGAAGUCGUAACA